UAGAACCUAUUUAUAAUGGCGGCAUUUUAUCUUAUUAGAGGAACCUGUUUUCUAAUCGACAAUCCACGUUAAUUUUCACUUCAAUUAAAAAUUUAUAUACCGCCAUCUAAAAAACUAAUUCAAUGAUAAUAUUUUCAAUAAAAACUAAAAAGUUAGGUCAAGGUGUAAUCUACAUUCAAGUAAAUAAUGGGUUACAUUAAAAACAAUUUAAGGAUUGUUAUAUAAAAAUAUUCCUCAAAAAAGGAUUUAAAUGUAAUAGUAAAAUAAUAUUUCACUAUG
rnacentral:rRNA from 1 species